rnacentral:tRNA from 1 species
UUAGCUGUGGUGUAAAUAAGUAGCACACUUGAUUUUCAUUCAAUUAGAGUAUAUUUUACCGGUUAGU